rnacentral:rRNA from 1 species
GGGGGCCCGCAAGCGGUGGAGCAUGUGGUUCAAUUCGACGCAACGCGAAGAACCUUACCUGGGCUCGAACGGCUUUGGAUCGACGGUGGAAACACUGUUUUCCCGCAAGGGACCGGAGUCGAGGUGCUGCAUGGCUGUCGUCAGCUCGUGUCGUGAGAUGUUGGGUUAAGUCCCGCAACGAGCGCAACCCUUGUCCUGUGUUGCCACUCCGUAAGGAAGCACUCUCAGGAGACCGCCAGCGAUAAGUUGGAGGAAGGUGGGGAUGAUGUCAAGUCAUCAUGGCCUUUAUGUCCAGGGCUACACACGUGCUACAAUGGUCGGUACAAACCGUCGCAAAGCUGCAAAGUGGAGCUAAUCGGAAAAAGCCGGCCUCAGUUCGGAUUGGAGUCUGCAACUCGACUCCAUGAAGCUGGAAUCGCUAGUAAUCGCAGAUCAGAACGCUGCGGUGAAUACGUUCCCGGGCCUUGUACACACC